GCUGCUGCCACCCCAGUCUCACAAUCUAUAAGUAACCUUUGCAAAUACACAAGCAGCUCCAAGGGGCCAGAGAAUUCACUGUGCCCUGCGGUGAUCAUUAAAUUUGCACCUCCUACCAGAGCAGUUGGGUAGGGAGUGGAGGAAUCAGGAACUCAGAAGAAAAUGGGGGUGGGGCGAGGCACCGCUGUCCUGACCGGCCCCGGCAAAGGGAAAAGCCACUUGCAGUCUUGCUCAGGCCCCUGCCCUGCUGCCCUGACCACCAAUGGAGGGGGUAUAUGGCCGCCCACACUCACUCUGGUGUCCUUCCUGGCCUGUGAUUUAGUCAGCGGAUUUAUUGAACACUUAAGCUGCCCACGGCUGCUUCACCCCUGGCUCAUCACUUUGCUUCCCUGUAGCCAUUUUCUCCAUGUGAAAAUGAGGUAACUUCAUAAGCAGGCUGCAAGUCACACCUGGAUCCUCCAUCACCGUGACCUGUCAACACUCAGAUGUGGCUUGGUUGGACACAUUUUCCAGGUGUCACAAGGCAAUUCAACACAUGGCAGAUCAGCCGUCGCUCUGUGGCCCCAGCAACCAAAUGAUAGCUGGUGGAUGACAAAGCAAGCUGCUCACCUCCCCCAACCCCCAUGGAAGGAGUUUCUGAGGGAGCUAACAGGAACUCUGAAGCCAGCCAGGAGAGGCUUCUGACCUGCUUAGCUUAGCUUGCUCCUCAGAGAAGUCUCCAUGUGUGGUGAUUAUGUGGACAGUGAGUGAGGACCACAGUCGUCCUUGGAGAGUGACAGGGCAGCCUUUGUCCCUCAGGAGGGAGCAGCCCACACCCAUCAUCCCAUGCUCUCAUCUGAUGCCACACUGAGGAGCUGGGCCAGUCUGGAGGAGAAGGGAUGUUGGAGCCUUCCAUCAAGGGAGGAGUAGGAACUGGGGGGAGGCCUCUUUCAGACAGAACCUGCCCUUGGGUCUGGGUCUCAUCUCACCCUGUGGCUGCCUCUUCAGCUGAGCUGCCACGGAAGGUUUUCUGGAGUUGGCCAGCAAGGUGUAUGAGGGUCUAGGCAGGCCCUGACAGCUUUGGCACCUGUUUGAUAUUUCCUGAGUUGAUGGUGGCAUAUCUGGUGUGAGCCCAGCCCCUGGGGUGCAACUGUGUCUCCAGGUUCCUGCUAGUCCCUCUGUGGCUUCACUGGGGUGUCAGGCCCCUCACCUCCCCUGCCCCAGACCCUGCCUCCAGAACAACCCCAUUAUGAACACAGCUAGGACCCUUCCUCCCUGUUGCUUUUCCAGUGGGGCCUCUUUUCUCCCUAAAGCACAUGCGAGAGAGCCAUAUCGACCGCCUCUCUAGGUUACCAUGGAAACAGAGCUUUUUCUUUCCUCCCUCCUGUUUACCUUGGUCAGGGGACUGCGGCAGAAAGCAGCCUGUCGCUGAACGAGA